rnacentral:rRNA from 1 species
GAUGAACGCUGGCGGCGUGCCUAAUACAUGCAAGUCGAGCGAACAGACGAGGAGCUUGCUCCUCUGACGUUAGCGGCGGACGGGUGAGUAACACGUGGAUAACCUACCUAUAAGACUGGGAUAACUUCGGGAAACCGGAGCUAAUACCGGAUAAUAUAUUGAACCGCAUGGUUCAAUAGUGAAAGACGGUUUUGCUGUCACUUAUACAUGGAUCCGCGCCGCAUUAGCUAGUUGGUAAGGUAACGGCUUACCAAGGCAACGAUGCGUAGCCGACCUGAGAGGGUGAUCGGCCACACUGGAACUGAGACACGGUCCAGACUCCUACGGGAGGCAGCAGUAGGGAAUCUUCCGCAAUGGGCGAAAGCUUGACGGAGCAACGCCGCGUGAGUGAUGAAGGUCUUCGGAUCGUAAAACUCUGUUAUUAGGGAAGAACAAAUGUGUAAGUAACUAUGCACGUCUUGACGGUACCUAAUCAGAAAGCCACGGCUAACUACGUG